AUGGUGUUGCUUGACAUUAGGGGCAUGCUACAGUCCAUGGGCAAAGACAUAGUGUUGUUCCUUCUUCCGGACAUCGACGAGACCUAUGACACUACUGGAGGCGAGGCCAGAGAAGUCACCGAGGAGUCAUCCAUCGAGGUUGACGCGAACGAUGCUGCUUUAGCGUCCUCACUAAACCCUGAGCAAAGGCUUGCAUACGACGAGAUACUGGCAGCAGUCGAUGCUGGUGAUGGGGGUGUAUUCUUUGUCGAUGGCCCAGGAGGCACCGGGAAGACCUUCCUAUACAAGGCACUACUCACAAAGGUUCGAGGCGAGGGCAAGAUCGCGGUGGCUACGGCGACGUCAGGCGUCGCGGCUUCCAUCAUGCCUGGAGGAAGGACAGCCCACUCGAGGUUCAAGAUCCCACUC
rnacentral:rRNA from 1 species